rnacentral:rRNA from 1 species
CGCCUGUUUUGAGACGGUAGACGCGUAGGAUAGACCAGGAGACCAGUUGCUUUUUUUAGUCGUGGGGUGGAGGGUGCGUGCUGAGCGCCUUGGUGGGUGCGGCGGCCGGCGGCUCGGGAGUGAGCCUGCGGGUGGGACGGUGGUCGGCAGCGACGAGGAGCGUGGGAGGGUGCCACCGCGACGGGGGGCCGAGGAACGCCGGGCAGUGCGGGGGCGCGCCGGAGGGAGACGUCGCGGGGUCGGGGCACGGCGGGUGGUGCAGGGUCCCGCCACAGGGAGCCGCCGAGGGGGCGGGGGCACGGUGGACGUCGCGGCGUCGCGCGGGAGGGAGCUGCCGCGGGGGCCGGUCGUGCGGGAAGGAACCGCCGCAGGUAGAUCUCUAGGUGGUGGCUCAGUUCAUGGUGAAGAAAAAAAAAGAAAGACAAUGGAUCAGUUGUUAAAAGAAUUCUUGUUAGCAUGUAACGUUUAGUCAUAUUUAGUAACAACAUGUACAGUUUACGUACCAGAAAACAUCAUUCUUUAGUUUCUGCCUCUCUACAAGUAAAAAUAAACAUGUUCUCUGGUAAGUUUUAAAUAAGAAACCGAUAGCAAACAGGACUCACCGAGAGACACACAACAAAUAAAACACUCACUUUUCUCGUCCAGUCCAAGGACUAUUGAAGCCAUUACAAAGACCCAGUCUUGAAUUCCAUCUCCACUACCUUCUCUCCGAUAAUGUUCUGAACUGAGCACUUCAAACAAGACACGAAACCCAAAAUCGUAAUGGAUCAAACUCUCAUCUGAAGGUAGAAACCUUGUUGAACCUUGACAGUUGGCCUAACUAAGAAGAGAAUUUUCAGACCUUAGUAAACGAAGGUCGAGAGAAUAACCCAUGAUCUUUUUAAAGAACGGUGUAUACACACAUAUGGAAUCAAGAAUUUAAAGUAGCUCGUCGUGGAAUUGUCUACUUGUUUCUGACUGACGAUGAUAAAUAAAUGUCUAAAGAAUACGAAUUACAACUGUAAUGGGAUUGACGAAACUCUUAUUGAUAACUUCACAAGUGAACCUGUCUAUCACUUCUUCACUGAUUUCAUUAUGGGAAAAUACCACGUAACUAAGUGGAACGACAACGUUGUUUGGUCCGACUCGACUCCGUCAAACAAUCUUUCCUAUAUAAAAGCAGAUAUUGUGUCCCGAAAAGACAACUCAACUUACAGCAACAAUCACGCCUCGAAUAACCUGAAACAGCUCCUUAUAUAGAUAUAGACAGUCUGUUUCUAGCACGUGGAUUUGUCAAACCGAGACCUCCGAAACCAGUACGUGUCAAGUCUUUCAUUUUGUUCUUGUGUUCAAGUAGUGACUAGAUAAAAAUGUGAUCAUUCUAUACGUAUGGUAAACGUCACUUUUUCACAAAUUGAUAAAAAUAGGACCUGUUACUUAAACUGAAGUAGAGGUCUACACUGGUUUAGAAAAAUCCGACUGUUCAUAGUGACCUUGACCAUUCAUAGUGAUUUCCGAACUAAGUCGUUGUGCACUAUACAAGGGGAGUGGUCAAUGGUAGAGUCAACAGAAGGAGUGGAGACAAUAGGGUAGCUGUGCCGGCUGUAGAGAUGGUGCCCACAACAUCCCACCUUGGGAUUCACUUCUAGAAAGUGCUUAACCUCCCCCUUAGGGGUUCUUGUUCUACUUGUGUUCUCUCUUUUGUUCUCCUUGUGAGUUCUUGCUCAGGUUAGUGUGUAAGUGAUCUGGCUGUUAGUGUGUUCUAGGUGUUCCAUGUACUUGUUAGUUACCCUUUGUUCUAUGUA